AAACGAUUGAUCGGCCAAGUAAGGAACCUCCUCUUGGCCUAGGUUCUUUCACUUCCUUGGGCUCGAGGAUGGUUAGGCUUCAUACGGAUGUUUUUGUGAUUUUUAGGUUUCUAAAUAAAAAAUAAUGCAAUUAAGCUAAAUGUGCGUUUAAACGUAAAGACAAGAAUUAAAGUGCAAUAAAAUAAAUCAAAGCAAUAAAUAAAGCAAUAAAUAAAGCAAGAACAACAAGAAUGAUAAACUAAAAUAAACUGGAAAUUAAACUUAAUAAAAGUGCAAUGACAAUGAAAGGUAAAGCAAUUGAAAUAAACUGGAAUUUAAAUGACAAAGAAUGUAAAUCGAACAAGAAUUUAAAUGACAAGAAAAAUAUAAAUUGAACAAGAAUUUAAACUUACACUAGAAAAAGGAAGAACUCGGUACACUAGGUGCUUGAAAAUUAAAAUCCUAAGUGUGGUAAUCAAAUUAAAUUAAAACCCUGGGUCAAAUAAUUCCUUCCAUUUGGGGAUUAUUUGACCUAAUUGGGAAUUACUCAACCUAAUUAGGAGUUACUCAAUUUAAUUGGGAGUUACCUAGUUAAAUUGAGAGUUACAUAAUUAAAUAGAGAAUUGAUUUGAUUCUAACCACAAUUCCCAAUUAAAUGAGGAGUUACCUAAUCAAAUUAGGAAUUGAUUUGAUUCCUACCACAAUUAGGGAUUUGAUUUACUCUAAUAAAUCAAAUCCCUAAUUAAUCAAAUCAAUUCCAAAUCGGGGAGGAAUAAUUCCUUUCCAUCUAUGGAAUUAUUCCUCUGAAACCCUAACCUCCAAGACCACUACAAAAAGAUGGUCACACAUAAGGGUUGAGGUACGUCAGAAUUGCUACUAAAAACUCUAUAGAGAUCUUCCCCUCACAAACCCAUGGGCUGGCCAUUGAUUGGCCAAAUGUCAAUACUUUUAAAACUCUUUCCUUUUGAGGCCCCUUGAAUCCGUGGGAUUACAUUAGUUGAAAUAUUCUGAUUGCUUGAUUCUCUCUUGUUUUGGAAUAUUCUGAACUGUCAUCAAUCUCCUUGAUUUAUUUCCUUGUGAGGCCUCCGUCACAUGCACACUAACCUCAGAAAUCUUGGGUGUGAAUCCCUGGCUUGGGCUUGGACCUCCGAGAUUUCAUCUAGACAUCUGGCGGAACCUCUUGCCCUUUGAGUGUUUAGAAUUCUAGAGUUGGCUGAUCAUCCUCCAAGGUGGGUGGUAUGAGAACUCCAAAUAUUAGGAUGUUGGGCUUGGCCUCACAUUGGACUAUCUUUGAGUUCUCAAAAUAUUUGAAUAUUAGGAACUCGGCUGACAUGCCUCCCGCAGAACUUCAACUCCCUCGGCGGAAAUACUUCCUGCUAACUCCGGCGGAAAUACCUCCAGCCAAACUUUAACUCCCUCGGCCCAACUUUACUUGCCCAAGUGUUGUGAAGAGGGGGCCCGGGUGAGCAAGGAGAAAUCCGCCCCAGCCCAACUUUUUGUAAGAGGAGUGGCUAACCAAGGUAUUUAAGGAGUGAUCGGCUCAACUUUUUGAGAAGUGCCGUACCACUUUUGCAAAAGGAAGUGUUUGGCCAAUUUUGCAAGGAUAUGCCCAACCACUUUUGCAAAGGGAAGCACUCGGUCAUAUUUUUGAGAAGGCACCAUGGUCUUUAAAGAAAACGCAUCGGCCACCUUGCAACAACCAUUCGAAAAUUCGAUCGUGAUUUUCCAAAAUCCUUCAGGGCUUUCGGGCGCAACAGACUCCUAGCCCGGCUGCAUUUUCAGCUCUUAACCCGACCGCAUAUUUAAUCCAUACUUGGAUGCAGCCUAGUCAUGUUCUUCAAUAGAUCCAGCAGCAACUCGCUGCCAAAGUUCGGCGGCAAUCCUCAGCCACACUUCAAACAAAACCCGACCAUACUCAAACCCCUUGCCACUUUCGAGCACAACCCAACCUUCUUUUUCAGCCGUACUUCGAACAAGGCCCAGCCAUCUUCUUCAGCCGCACUUCAAACAAGGCCCGACCAUUCUUCGAACACCUUCAGCCACCUUCAAUCUCUAGCCUCACUUUAAACAAAGCUUGACUGCAAUCUCAGCUACAUUCAAACUGUCCAGUCGAGUCUCGCCAGGCCCAACUGCACCCAAUUCUUGACCACCAAAGCUCCAAGACUCCAACAAUUUUGAUCGCACUUCGAACUUCUAGCUCGAGCUCAUCUUUGCUUCCAGCCCAACAAUAAUUCUCCAACAAAGCUCGAACGCGGCCGGCUUCCUUCUCCAGCAAAACCCGGCCGCUUUCUAGCCGCAUAAAUCCCACAACACCCGACUGCCAAGCUCUCCAAGUCUCGGCCAGCUUUCGCACGUCAUAACCCCAAUAGCCCAUUCGCUUGUACUUUCGAAAGGGUGCUCGAGUUUAGUGGAUUUUCACCACCCCAAAACAGUGAGACCACUCAAUAUAGAGUACAGAUCUCAUUAAGAGUUAUAAAGAACUCAACCUUAAAUCGCUUCAGGAUUUCAUGCUUCUAAGGAUGGAUAUAGAACAAUAGCAUGAAUCCACUCAUAUUACUAGAUGACUGGUUAUUUCUUGGGAUUUCCAAUCUAUAGGUUAGGUUACCAUCACAAGUGACUUAACCUUCUAUGGGUUUUAGUCCCAUUUCUUUUCAGGUUUUCCAAACCUUUUCUCGUGUUAGUCCUUUCGUCAAAAGAUCAGCUAAUCAGAUUGUACAUAAUCCACCCUUACAGCCCUAUUGGAAAGAAACUCUCUAAUAGUGUUGUGCUUGCGACGUAUUUUUAGCCUCUUGCCAUUAUAAUAACGAUUCUUCCCAUCUGACAGUAGUUUUCUCAACCAACCUACUUCCUCACUAGCCAUUGCUAGGGCUAUCAUCUCUUACUCCAAUAUGGAGUAAGCCAGAAUAGUCUGUUUCUUAGACUUCCAUGAAACUGCACCACCAGCAAUAUUAAAUAUACAUCCGUUAGUAGCCUUUGAAUCAUCUGAUAAAAUAUUCCAAUCAGUAUCGCUGUAUCCGUUUAGGACAACGGGAAACUUCUCAUAGUGUAAUCUAAGGUUCAUAAUCUUUUUAAGGUAUUGCAUGACCCUCUCAAUAACAUACCAAUGCUUCAAACUAUGUCCAAUUGCAAGUCUGCAUAUUACUCCUACAACAUAAGCUAUAUUAGGCCUAGUGCAAUUAGUAGCAUAUCGAAGGCUACCAAUGAUGCUUGCAUACUCUGUUUGUCUAACACUGUCACCAAUGUUCUUGAACAACUUUACACUAAGAUAAUAAGGAGUAACUGCUGGAUUACAAUCAAAGUAAUUAUAUUUCUUAAGGAUUUUUUCAAUGUAAUGAGAUUGAUCCAAAUAGAAUCCUUUUUCUAAACCAGUUACCUUAAUUCCAAGUAUUACACUAGCUUCAUUUAAAUCUUUCAUAUGAAAGUUUGCACAUAACAAAGAUUUGACAUUAUUCACAACAUGAAUAUUAGAGCCAAAAAUAAGUAAGUCAUCCACAUUGAGACAUAGGGUAAAUUACUCAGAUGGUUCUCAAACUUAUACACGAUUUAUAUUUUGGUCCGUCAAUUAAAUUAUUCAUUCAAAUGGUCCAUCAAUUCUAUAUUAUUCGCUUCAUUAAUCCCACCAUCUAAUUUUCUGUUAGAUUUAACCAAAUUUUAGGGUAAAUAUGACUUUUCAUAAUUAACAAAUAAAAAUUGGAGUAUUUCAAAGAUUCACUGAAAUUUUAAACGAAGCAAAACUUGAAAUGAAAACUCUAAACCACCCAACACAAUACUCAAACCUCAAUAAAAAUAAGAAUAAAGAUUUGAAGCUGUGUUGCCAUUACCAAUUAUAUCUUUGAGAAUCAGCUGCUUUCGAAUAUUAGCAGACAGAGGCCGGGGAGAAGAGAGAAACCAUACAUCAAGGGUCUCCUUCAACUUCAAGACUUUGCUAGAAGAAAUGCUACAUAUCAAAUAAAUCAAGUUUUCUUAAGGGUGGCUGUGGGACGAGUUUGAUUAGUUGUGGUUGUGGGCUUGGGUGAAGGGUGGCUGUGGGGGAUUGGGGGGCUAUAUUUUUGGGUGUCUUGAGAAAUUUUUAGUGGUGAUUGGGCGAUAAUUGCUGGGUAGGCGAAGAGUGCUGGGAGAGAGAGAGUGUUUUGGGAGUAUAGGGUGGCUGUGGG
rnacentral:lncRNA from 1 species